rnacentral:misc_RNA from 1 species
AUAAAAUCGCUGAUGAUAUGGAUUUUUAAUUAUUUUUAUGAAAUAAUUAUCGGUUGAGGGAUGAUAAUUCAAUAUUUAAAUAACCCUUCUAGUCUAAAGUAUAUAAAUAAAAGCACAUAUUUCAUCCAUGUUUGUAACCCAUCACGAGACAUUUCAAAAUUAUACUGCAAAUUGGCCACUUGCUAUUCUCUAGUUUAGUGAUCCACCUACCGUGCUUGGUAACAAGUCAAAAAUUGCCAGCAAACAUCGAGCACUUUUGCUCAAUUAUUCCAUCUACGAGGGCCCUUGUCCACUAAGACGCCCCUAUGCUUAAUUCUAAUAGUACUAGAAACAUGCACUCUCCCUGAGAUGAGUUUGUAGCCAUGUGCUCUACUCCACUGAGAUUAUUAAUAUAUACACAACAUUAUAAUACAAUUCAUAAACUAUACAAAAAUAUGCAGUACUACCUUUCAUUUGUUAAAUAACUCUUUUAAUGUAGACGGCGUCGUGUAUAUCUUCAUCGGUUUUUCGCCGUUACUCUGUUUCAAUGAGUAAAGUUUACACAGGGCCUGUCCUGCUAUUUUCCAAGCAAACCCACAAUAUUUCCCAUCUCCUCGGGCUUUGGCAUAGUCAUAAGAGAUGUUAUAGAUGGCAAGAGCUUCUUCGAAUAUAUCCUCGUCUCUCCUCUUGCUCUCCUCAAAUUCUGCUGCCUCGUAUAAUAUCUCUUUAUAUUUUUUAAUCACUUCAUUUGCAGCCUCAUUUUUGGUCUCUGUAUUUGACUUUAAAGCAUCUGUCAUGUCUCGCCUAUAUUGAUCAUAGAGUUCCUUCCAUUUCAUCAGGCAUGACUCAGAGACUUCGUCAUUGAAACAGUGGAGUUUCCAAACUUCAUUUUUUGGUGUAUCUUCUUCCAUGUAUAAUUUCACUUUGUCGUAUAUUAAUCCCAGGAUAGAAGUAGACUUGUAAGAAAUCUCUUCUUUCCUUUCCAAAUGAUGUGGGAAUAAUUCAGCCUUCAAUUGUUCUGGAAGUUCAAUCUUUUUCCCCCCUUUCUUUGGUGCAUCAAGAGCAUCAUAGUAUUUAUCAAUUAACUCAAACAUAUUCUUCUUCAUAUUCAGUUUCUCAUCAUGUCUGUCUUCUCCCAAUAUCAGAAGCCUAUCCAUCAUUGCCAACCAACUAUCAGCUGCCACACCAACAGUGUAACUUGGUUGAAACCUAGUCAUCAGAAACAGUCUGAACAACUCAUCUUCUAAUUCCUCAUCAGAAAAAUCACCAGGUUUCUUAUUAGGCACAUUAUUGUUAGAAAAAGGAGGACACCAUGGUUCACUCUGAUUGAAUUUGUCUACCAGCUGAAGGGAAAACAAUUUUAGGUGCUUAAUUUGAAAUUUAGAGCUACUAAAUUAGGGAAGGAAACUGGAAUUUAACUCAAUUCUGAACUUUGAAGAUUAUGCAACGCAUCAUCACUGGUAAUUGGUAAAGCAUGAACAAACAUAAGCAAAGACACACAUAUGCAUAAAAAGGUGAUGUACUGUUGUGUGAAAAAGCAAUCAAUUGCACAUAUUCUAGACAACCAUGAAUCCAAAAUUUUUCCUCAUGCUGCCCCUUCCCCCUCUAAAAAAAUUUGAGAAAAAGGAAGGGAAAGGGAAACUAAAGACUGAAAAACCGUGACCUGUACGAGUCAAGGUAACAAUUGCAUUCAGCAGUCAAUAGCAUAUGAAAACACUCAAUCACAAGAAACUUAUAUGAGUAAAGUAAUUAUAUGAAACACAGAUCUCUACAAAAAAUAUCCAUAUGUUCAUUUUGUAAUAUGCAUUUUUAGUAGCUUUUUUUUUCCCAGUCCUAGUUGCUUAGUAGAUUUCAACGUAAAAUUUUCAAAAGUUUGUUAUUUGUAAGAGAUAAUACCUGCAAUUUACCUCCCCUCCCAACACCACGUGACGUGCAACCUAAACAAUCAAUGAUUCUAUAUGUGCUAAUCUCAAACUCUUAUUCACUUAGCACAAUCACAAUGAAAUUGGUCAUAUAAAUCAUUUUCCCUCCAUUACACUCAGUUUAGACUACAUUCACAAAAAAAAAAAUCAAGAGCUUCUGAAUCCUUAUUCAAUAUUGGCCCUAAUUUAUGUCAAAUCCAACUAUUGUGGUCUUCACUCUUGUAACUUGGAUAAGGUUCAUCUUCUGUACCAAUGCAUUUUUCAUCUACCCUGGACAUGCCUAAAUUAUCUCGUUCCCUUUCCUCAAACACUUUCAAUGGAUGGUGCUGGCCACCUGCUUAUGAAUGCACUCGUUUUGAAUUGAAUCUUUUUUUUUUAUUCUUAUUUCUCCAUAUACCAUUCUAAUGUCUUAAUCUUUGCUAUGCUGAUUUUAUAAGCAUUUUUUUCAUUGCCAAAAUUUGUUGCUGUACAUCAUACCUGGUGAAAUUGCAACUAUGGAGGCUUUUAGCAUUCUAAUAAUCCAUUUGCCAACACAUAUCUACUCUCAUUAACUAACCCCAACCCACUUCCACACCAGUCCAUUCUGGCGCAAGAUGACUGUUGGCUAUUUUUCACUAAAAUGUAGGUUUUGCCGAGGUGCAUUGCUUAUAGUGAAAACCAUAACUUUCUGGGAAAACCUUUUUUACAUGUGGAUGCCUGCUAGAAUAUGGGAACCUACACCAUAUCCAUAUCCAUGUGCAAACAUAGCAUAUUUCUUUCGACAAACACUCUAUGCUCAUGCUUAAUUUUCACUACAACUAAGCUCCACUGCAGCAUUUUCACAAGGUAUCAUAUUAAUUAGAACACAGACCAUAAAAAUGCUGUAAAAUUUCUUGGCACAUCUGCAAUGAAGACUAGGGCUUGCACUAGUAACAAUUGGUUGAAAGCAUUUCAAUGAUUGUGCAAAUGGUGAAAAGAAGGAAAGUCAAAAGAAAUGGAUGAACUUAAUUCAUUAGGUAAAAUCUACUCAGUUAAAGUGGAAUUGAAAAAAUUGUAUAACAAUGCAAGUGUUCAACAAAUUAAAGCCCUAAAGGAGGACCCUGGAUAAGGGGAGAGGAUCUCCCAAGCAAACAUAUAACAAACAUGAUAAGGGCAGCAAAAAUAUUGAUUAUCAUGCAACUAUAUUAUUGAAAAUAAAUGCUGACCUCAGGAUUUCUUGACACAAAAUACAAAUCACCAUCAUAGUCACCUCCUGCCAUCUCAUCUGCCAAUGACCGUGGUCCUUUACAAGGGAAGAAUAUAGCAUACUUUGCAUUUCCUACAAAAUCAUUUAAACCCUCCACAUAUGUCGCCUUCAGAAUAUGUAUAUCUCCAAAAUGUAAACCAGGAUUGCGAUACACCAUUACUUUCCCUGAAACCUGUCCAUUUUCCAAGAUUACGCAAACUUCAUCACCCUCUAGGGUUCCAGUGGGAUCAGUAGUCCCCAUCAAAUAAUAUGAUUCAGGGAUGGGAAUGCGUCCCCCUUUAAGACUCUUCUUCUCCUCCCUCAUUAAUAUAAGCUGAUGGUACUGAAUAUAUGAUUCUUCCAAGGGAAUUCCGGAAAAUAGCAUUCUUGCCACCAUAUAAUCAUCCAUCUCACCAUUGAUAAUGGCCACUUGCAGAGCUGCAUGCUUUUUGGAGAGGGCACCUUGUGCAUCUUCCAAAGCAUUAUUCAAUAAAUCCAUAAAAAACUCUUGUGGAACCCCACCAUAGCUAAGAAGUGCAAUUAGGUUCCUUGAGAGAUAUGCUCUCUUUGGCCGAUUGCUUGUUCCAACUAUCUCAAAUGAACUUUUUGUGCAAGCAUUUUGCAUUGAAUCUGCCUCAACUUUGAUCAUUGAGGGCCGAACUUGAAUGGUUCCAGGGCAGAGCUGAUAAAUGUGGAACCCACAAUGAACAACAGAAAUAUUAGAAACACAUAGGAUGAAGAAAGAAAUUAGCAAACUGGGAACCUAGUAGCCCACAAUUUUGAUAUUGACAUCUUAACAAACACAUUGCAUAUUAGAAUUUUUUGUCUUGAACUAUUGUGUUGACUUAUUAAUACGCCAUUACAUUAUAAAAGAUCUUGCUAAAAAUUUGUAAUAGAGAUGAGCCUGUCAUCAAGUCAAGGUAUGCCAAUCACUUUCAGAUCUCUGUUACUUGCACUCAGGUAAGAGUAUCAAAUAAAGGGAUCUGUCCAGGAGCCAGACAUGCCUUUUUUUUCCAAAAUUUUCAUAGAUAUUCCCAUUAAUUUGAAGUGUCAAAUAGGCAAAUGCAUGUCCAAGUACUCUUACCUAGCAGAUAUUUUAGGUUAAAAUAAAAGUAGCCAUGCUUCGUAAGUAAUGUCAAUGGCUAAAUUACAAAUGCAAGUUGAAGAGUCUACACAUUUCCAAUAAGUUUCCACAAAAGAGAGAACAGAGAUCCUAAAGAAAGAAGAAAAAACAAUUGAAAGAUGCAAAAGAGGAACAAAGAAACAUAGCAGCAGCCAUGAUAUUAAAUUAAAACCAUUAGAAGCUUCAGAAUAAAAAGCCCACCCACCACCAAUCCCCACCCUCAACAAGAAGAGAACCUAAAAUGAAAAUGUAGUCGUGAGAUAUCAAUUCAUUCCAAAAUUUUUGCAAUGUUAUCCACUCUACUCCAUUGCAUUCCAACAUUAAUCCAACCAAAGGUAAUGACUAACAAAAGGGGUCAAUGAGAUAGCCUGCAAUUUGAUGGGUUACAUAUUUUGGCUGCUUCUAACAAUCUUAACCCAAAAUUAAAAGUUUGGUUCAAGUUCCCUUCUUAAAAAAAAGAAGAGGAAACGUAAAUAGGAAAGGUCAUUUAUGAUUUCUCAUAAUUGAAACUCCAAUAUAUCUGCUUGGCUUUCAAACUAAAGAGACAAAUAAUCUAUAAACUGUUGCAAGUCUUGACAAGAUCAAGAGGUCCAAUGGAAAAAAGCAUCAACCACAAUAAUACAUGAAUAUAAUAUAAAUGGUUUCAAACAUUAUUUGGACCAAAUUAGCUACACUGAACAUAAAAACUAGGAUAAGAAUGCUCACAUUAUUCUUCCUCUACAAUGGAAAAUGACAAAGAUUAUACCUUCUUAUUGACAAGGAGAGUUCCUUUGACAGUACCACCAUUGUGGAAAAGGCGGAACUGAAUCAGCAAAGGCUUGGCGAAAAAAAAAAAAAGAAAUGGUAAGAAGAUUGAUGCUUAAGUUGUCAAAUAAACAAACUGCCAGAUCACAUAUACCGGUUCCCCAAAAUUAGAUUCUGAAAAUUUGAUUUCUGAAGAUUUCCCAAUGAGCCCAUUACAGUCAAGUAAUCUCUAUCAACAUUGAAAAGCAAUCAAUCAGGGGAUGAGUCAUAUUACUUCCUAUAAAAAGAAGGCAAUGAAAAAGUAGAACAUUCACGCCAUAAAUUCCAAACUUAUUAAGAGUAAAAAAAAAAUCAGUUUAAAAGCAGAGAAAACAAUACACAGAUGAUAUACAACAAUGAGGCAUAUGCAAAACUGUAAAUUUGAGAAUGAGAUAGCACUUGCACAUUUUUAUAUUAGCACAACAUGAACAAGUAUGUUAACAACCAACACAUCCAAUGAAUCGUUCCCUCCUCUAGUGAUCUGUUACACAGAAGAAGAAAUAAGCUGAUUUUUACUAAAGGUUAAUUACAGCAAAAAGGCAGCUCCACUUUCCACCCUUGCACUAGUUCAAGACACUUUGACAAUGCAGCACAAACUGCGUGUGCAUGCACAAUUUCAAGGGAUAGGAUAACAAAAAUGAUUUUUUUUUCAAUUAAUAGAAAAAAGCUGGUAAAGUGAAUAGUAUAUGGAAAUAUAAACAAGAAAUAUAUUUAUUUCCUUCAAAUCACCCAUUUCUUUUUAAUUUCUUUUAUCCCAGUUAAGGGCAUUGCAUCUUAGAAAAAAGACAGAUCAUUGGUAAAUCAUUGUCCAGAUUGAAGCAGAGUUUCAUGCACAAAUUCAUAUAUUUAAAACAUUAAACCUAAAGAUGCACAAUCAUCAAAUGUUUAUGAAACAAAAUAAAUCAGUAAAAAUAUUUUUGCUUACCAAUGCCUUACAUUUAAAUUGAUAAGUAGCGAAGUCAAAAUUUACAAACCUCCAUUUCAUUACCAUUGAUGCACUUCCCCUUGUGCACUUUCUUCGGGCAUUUUAAAGCCAAAUCCUCUGAUAUAAAACCAGUUCCAUCUGUAUGUAUUAAAUGUUUUCCAUCUUUACCUUUGACAACAUUACCAUCAUUAUCCCGGCAUGGUAUAUCAUUUAUUUUUUCAAUCUUCACAGCUGAUAAGUCAACUUCAAAGUUCACAGUCUUCGACAAAAUGAGAGAGAAUCUAGCCAUAUAGUUGGACAAACUAGGCAAUUUAUCUACAUUCAUAAAUGUAGAUCUAGCUUGUCUGAUUGUUUUCCCAUCCAAAAUGUAAUUUGGAUGGUCCCUAGAAGCAUCAGACUGUGUGCGAACAAAGAAGCACUUAACCGGUGAAGUGGUCGGGUUUUUCUUCUUUUCUUCUUUCCCUCCAUCUUUAAACACAAAAAAGCGGUACCGACGUAAACCAACGAGAAUCCCUUCUCUAGCUAACCUGCCAUACUUGGCAAAAUAAUCGAUUGAACUACUUGUUGAACAACUCUUGUCAGCAUCCUCUUCUGCAAACUUGACCAUCAAAACGUUAUCAUCCCCUAACGUCCUUUGAAGGAAAUUGCUCAUCAUAGUUAAAUAGGGGCCCUUGAACCUAUAAGUUCCAUCAGAACUAACAUGGCAAUGGUAAAUGUGUGUCCUGCCACAAUCCCAGACAAGAUACUUCACACGUUCAUGCUCCCUGAUAUAGCCACAUCUACUGCCCACAGCUUUCCAAAUUUCAGCCUCAAAUUUAGCCAUUGGCAAAUGUUCCAUCCGUCGAAUCUCAUCCGCAAAUAGCACUUCCUCCAGCUUAUAGCCGCCUAUGUAACUCAAUAUAAGAAAUGCCUUUCUGAAUUCGAGCUCACCCAAGGCCUGCAACUGUGGACUAAUUCUAAUUCCCAGUCUGCUAGCUGUCUCUGAACUGGAGCUAGUAGCACUAUCCAGGGACAUUGAAGACUGAAUAAUAGAUUCACCUAUAAUCACCACAAAGAAUAAUCAAAAGACUCCCAAAUGCUCUGGUUCAUACGGAAAAAAACAAACAAAACCAGAGAAAAAUAUAGAGCGAGAGUACAAUGCUGGUGCAUCAUCAUCUGCGUAGAUGUGGAGCUGCAACUCGGCUGUUGGGUCGAUGUCUGAGACAAACAAAAGCGUUUAAUAGGGGAACCAUCGGCAGCCUUCUGUUUAGCCAAAUAUAUUACAAAGCCGUCAAAACUUUUUUUAACCCCUGUGACAGCGAUUGCAUGUAGAAUAUCGAGAGCCGCUUCUUCUCCCAAUGAAGCGAGCUCCAGCCGCGCCUGUAGUCCUAGCGGUGGUUGCUUCUGCUCAAUACAUAUCUUUUGUAUGAGUUGCUCCACAGAAGGAGGCAGCAGACAAGCAUCGGCCAUGGAUUGUAUGUGAUGCAGUAGAGACUAGAGAAAGAUUGUUUGGUUUGGGUGACC